rnacentral:misc_RNA from 1 species
UCGAGUCACUAUCUUCUUGAUCAGAUACAUUUUCUGAUGGCUCCUUUCCCCAUGCAUCAUCAUCAGGAUCCUUAUCCUUCUGAGAUUUAUUUCCCUUGUGCUUGACAGUUUUAGACUUAGUAUACUUUUUGGGAGGUUUGGUUGAAAUAAUUAUGCGAUGCUUCAAAUCUUCUGGAGAAGGGAACACUUCUAAACAUUCGCAUUCAGGAUAAUAGAGAAUGUCCCCAAAUGUCCCAAUAAUCAUCUGAGCUGCUUUAGCUUGAAGAUCAGGGGUAAGGUGGUCUUCAAGAGUUAUUAUGACAGGAUAUGGAGAGAAUGAAAAGGCAUGUUCUUUUAUGGAUUU